UACGUAGGGUGCAAGCGUUAAUCGGAAUUAUUGGGCGUAAAGAGCUCGUAGGCGGCUUGUCGCGUCUGCUGUGAAAACCUAAGGCUCAACCUUGGGCUUGCAGUGGGUACGGGCAGACUAGAGUGCGGUAGGGGUGACUGGAAUUCCUGGUGUAGCGGUGGAAUGCGCAGAUAUCAGGAAGAACACCCGUGGCGAAGGCGGCUCUCUGGGGCGGUACUGACGCUGAGACGCGAAAGCGUGGGGAGCGAACAGG
rnacentral:rRNA from 1 species